UAUUUGUUCAUUGAUGGUUUGUUGCGGUUUGUUUCUAUUAAAUUUUAUAUAAAAUUUAUACAGAGUGAAAUUCAAGAUGAUUCUUAUAAACGAAGAAGCAUUUGACAUAAUAGCCACAUUCUUUGAAUGCAUGAGAAACGAAACUGUUGCGGCUAGAAUAUAUCGCACACCUAGAUCUACAGAGAGUUAAGUCAAAAAUAUGUGAAAUUGAGUUAAGCUCACCAUUUAAUUCACUGUACGGAUACCUAUCGAUCAAUAAAAGAGAUUUAAAAAUAUGUGCAAAAUUCAACGCUAGAUGGCACCUAGAGUCUCUUUUGUUGAACAAGCGAGCCAGAUCUCCCCGCGCAUAAACGGGAACAACGUUAGAUGCAAUCAGAAUUAAAAGCGGAGUGCAAGUGUCCUCCGUAAAAAGUUUGGAGUUAUUUUGAGUUGUACCUGUUUAGUUGAAAUUUGCAGCAGUAUUAUUUUGAGUUGUCACCUUUUAAAUGGUUAGUGCUAAUUACCAGGACACCACAAUUUGAGUUAAACCUGUAUCGUUGGCAAGGAAAACAAUGAAUCGCCGGCGAUUGUUAGUAAGUAUGGUAGAAGAAGAGUAUAAAUAAAAUAUCACUCCUAUAACUUCUAUUCAACAUGCAACCGUGGAAGAUAACUUGAAGAUGGCAUCAAGUGAUAAAGUUCCAUCCAUAGAAACUCAUGCUGUUUUAAUACCGGUUAAUACAUUUAUCCCUAGCACGUCUAAACAACAGCCCCGGAAUGUUAUAUUUCACCUAUAUGGAGCGAUGAAAGUGAUAAUGACGACUAAGAUAAAGAUCCAAAUUUUCAAUUAUUAAACACAACCCACCUAAGUUCGUACCUUCAUCAUCAUCGGUAACUUGAUUCAGCAGCAGCAGCUCCAGUGCAUCAGAUACCGAAGAUGAUAGUGACAAAGUAGGCCCAGAAGGUGUUAUGGUUCCUGAAACUGGUACUGAGAUUGAGAUAGAUAAACUACCCUGUCAAAAUCUAAAAAACUAAUUCUAGCAAGAAUGGUUGGACCACCCUGUGGAGACAAAUGUCGCCUAAAAUGCAAAGAUAAAGUGGUCAAGAUGUCAAGACAACUAACAGAACUUUGAUGAAUAUUGGGCACUCGGUGAUCUUGAAUAGCAAAGAGAAUUCUUAGUACGCCACUCGCAACAAAUAAAGUCUAAAUAUCGGUACUUAAGUACACACAAUUUUAGAGCUCUCAACAAUCCCUUUUACUUUGAGAUUAAUGGAUCCAAAAUACAAAUAUGCAAGACAUUUUUCAAAUCCACUCUUGAUUUGAGCAGUAAAGCGAU
rnacentral:lncRNA from 1 species